AAAUUGAAGAGUUUGAUCAUGGCUCAGAUUGAACGCUGGCGGCAGGCCUAACACAUGCAAGUCGAACGGUAACAGGAAGCGCUUGCUGCUUCGCUGACGAGUGGCGGACGGGUGAGUAAUGUCUGGGAAACUGCCUGAUGGAGGGGGAUAACUACUGGAAACGGUAGCUAAUACCGCAUAACGUCGCAAGACCAAAGAGGGGGACCUUCGGGCCUCUUGCCAUCGGAUGUGCCCAGAUGGGAUUAGCUUGUUGGUGGGGUAACGGCUCACCAAGGCGACGAUCCCUAGCUGGUCUGAGAGGAUGACCAGCCACACUGGAACUGAGACACGGUCCAGACUCCUACGGGAGGCAGCAGUGGGGAAUAUUGCACAAUGGGCGCAAGCCUGAUGCAGCCAUGCCGCGUGUAUGAAGAAGGCCUUCGGGUUGUAAAGUACUUUCAGCGGGGAGGAAGG
rnacentral:rRNA from 1 species